rnacentral:tRNA from 1 species
GGAGAUGUAGUGGUUAUAACCAGUGCAAGAGCUCACUUUACCCGGGUUCAAUUCCCGGCAUCUCCA